GACGAACGCUGGCGGCGUGCUUAACACAUGCAAGUCGAACGGAAAGGCCCUGCUUUUGUGGGGUGCUCGAGUGGCGAACGGGUGAGUAACACGUGAGUAACCUGCCCUUGACUUUGGGAUAACUUCAGGAAACUGGGGCUAAUACCGGAUAGGAGCUCCUGCUGCAUGGUGGGGGUUGGAAAGUUUCGGCGGUUGGGGAUGGACUCGCGGCUUAUCAGCUUGUUGGUGGGGUAGUGGCUUACCAAGGCUUUGACGGGUAGCCGGCCUGAGAGGGUGACCGGCCACAUUGGGACUGAGAGACGGCGCAGACUCCUACGGGAGGCAGCAGUGGGGAAUAUUGCACAAUGGGCGGAAGCCUGAUGCAGCAACGCCGCGUGCGGGAUGACGGCCUUCGGGUUGUAAACCGCUUUCGCAUGUGACGAAGCGUGAGUGACGGUAAUGGGUAAAGAAGCACCGGCUAACUACGUG
rnacentral:rRNA from 1 species